UACGAAGGGGGCGAGCGUUAUUCGGAAUCACUGGGCGUAAAGCGUGCGUAGGCGGUCUUCUAAGUCAGGAGUGAAAGCCCGGGGCUCAACCCCGGAAUUGCUCUUGAAACUGGAAGGCUAGAAUUUGGGAGAGGAUAGCGGAAUUCUCAGUGUAGCAGUGAAAUGCGUAGAUAUUGAGAGGAACACCGGUGGCGUAAGCGGCUAUCUGGACCAACAUUGACGCUGAGGCACGAAAGCGUGGGGAUCAAACAGG
rnacentral:rRNA from 1 species